AUUUCUUGUUUAGUUAUUUAGUUUUGCUGCUGCUAAUAGUCUUAUUUUGCAUUUAUGUCAUAUUUUGAUUUCUGUUUAGUAGAUUGAGGAAAAACGCAAGAAAAAUUCACAAGAAGAGAUAGAUUUAACUUUUUUAGGUUGUGAUCUUUUUUUUCCCCAAGUAUCUUUGCAGAUCACCUGAAAUUCAGCUUUCAAGUUAUAUUCUAUUCAUUGGUUUUCAUAAAGUAGCUAUAGGUAUUAUUUCUUAGUUUUGCCUUUUAUCUUUACUAUUGCCUUCUUAACAUGGAUGGUUAUGCAGCCAAGUUGUAUAUGGUACUGGGAGAUCCUGUUUGAAUUGUGCUUGGAAUAGAUGUCCUUUGUCAUUACUUUUCAAUUGCAGUAGUUGUGACUUUGUAUUUAGAGUAUGCAUAGAGUGGUGUACUUGCAUUUACAAGUGCGGUUAACACUUACUGCUAAAAUGGCUUAUGGGUGUCUGAGUUUUGCUGGGGAACCAAAAAUUUUUAUGCUGUAAUUUGCUUCAGUGCAAUAUUGAGUUUUUUUGUUGAGCUUACCAUGUCUGGUGUAUCAAAUUCCAAAAAGUCCUUGCUCCCAAAUUACAUUUGUGCAGUGCAAGAAAUUCUGUUACACAGUGAGGAAAAAGUGACCGCCAAAACCGUGUAUAUUUGGCCAAACUCUUAACUGUGAUUUUUUUUUUUAGCCAUCUCACCUUUUGUUCAAUUUGUUGUCUGGGUUUCAGAGUUUAACUUCUUCCUCCAUUUCUUUAUUUCAAAUAUUCUGUGCAGAAUGCAUUCAAUGGAAAAUGAUAUUGUUUCUUAAUGUUUAUGUGCCAUCAUCCUGUACAAGAUGGAAAGAUUUUUAUGUAUGCAGGGCUUAUGCUUGGUUCAGAGCCCAUGAUUGCAAUUUUUUUUCUUUUUGGGUUUUUUUGAGUAUCCAAAACUGAUCUGGUGUUUUUAAUAGGUAUUUUGUGUUAAGCUUAUUGCUGGUAGUGAUAGGAGGGAAGCUGCUCACUAGCUUUAAGGCUACUUAAGUUUGUUCUAUGUUUAGCCUUUUUCACCUUAAUGAGGUUGAGGAAAAUCACAAGGAAAUACUCAAAGGAGGAGAAAGAUUUAGCUUUUCAGAUAUGAGAGUUAAAGCAAAGGAGCUGGGACUGCUAACUGAGUCAUAUUUGAAGGGAAUGCAAUCAAUAUGCAAAUUGGUUGGCCAAGCGCAGCAGCAUCUAUGGUCCAUUAGAGUUACAAGUUCUUGAUGACAUUCUCGUAGAGAUGUGAGAUUUGUUGGAAGCUUACGUGUUAGUUGUUGCAUAUCCUAUUUUGUUUCUGUUUAAGAGGUUAUGACCUCUUUCAAUGUACCCAAAAACAAAAAGAAAAAAAAAAAAAGAGGUUCCUUUAUAAUGCAUAUCCUUGGUGCUUUUUGGAUGA